UAACGAAUCUUCCGCAAUGGGCGCAAGCCUGACGGAGCAAUGCCGCGUGUGGGAUGAAGCGUCUCUGACGUGUAAACCACUGUCAGGGGUUAGAAACAAUGAUCAACCCCAAAGGAAGUGGCGACUAACUCUGUGCCAGCAGUCGCGGUAAUACAGAGGCCACAAGCGUUAGUCGGAAUCACUGGGCUUAAAGGGUGCGUAGGCUGGUCCGCAAGCGUCUUGUGAAAGCCCUCGGCUCAACCGAGGAACAGCAGGGCGAACUGCGGAUCUUGAGGCAGGUAGGGGUCGCGAGAACAGUAGGUGGAGCGGUGAAAUGCGUAGAUAUCUACUGGAAUGCCGAUGGUGAAGACGCGCGACUGGGCCUGUCCUGACGCUGAGGCACGAAAGCGUGGGGAUCAAACAGGAUUAGAUACCCCAGUAGUCCCUGAGCGGGCUGGCAAGGCGCAU
rnacentral:rRNA from 1 species